GGGUUGUGAGGUUAAGCGAAUAAGCGUACACGGUGGAUGCCUAGGCAGUCAGAGGCGAUGAAGGACGUGCUAAUCUGCGAUAAGCGCCGGUAAGGUGAUAUGAACCGUUAUAACCGGCGAUUUCCGAAUGGGGAAACCCAGUG
rnacentral:rRNA from 1 species